rnacentral:tRNA from 1 species
UGGCCUAGUGGUUAAGGCUAUGGAUCACCAAUCCGGAGACGGCGGGUUCGAUUCCCGU